rnacentral:rRNA from 1 species
GACGAACGCUGGCGGCGUGCUUAACACAUGCAAGUCGAACGGAAAGGCCCUGCUUUUGCGGGGUGCUCGAGUGGCGAACGGGUGAGUAACACGUGAGUAACCUGCCCUUGACUUUGGGAUAACUCCAGGAAACUGGGGCUAAUACCGGAUAGGAGCUCCUGCUGCAUGGUGGGGGUUGGAAAGUUUCGGCGGUUGGGGAUGGACUCGCGGCUUAUCAGCUGGUUGGUGGGGUAGUGGCUUACCAAGGCUUUGACGGGUAGCCGGCCUGAGAGGGUGACCGGCCACAUUGGGACUGAGAUACGGCCCAGACUCCUACGGGCGGCAGCAGUGGGGAAUAUUGCACAAUGGGCGGAAGCCUGAUGCAGCAACGCCGCGUGCGGGAUGACGGCCUUCGGGUUGUAAACCGCUUUCGCCUGUGACGAAGCGUGAGUGACGGUAAUGGGUAAAGAAGCACCGGCUAACUACGUG